CAGAGAUGUCCGAAUGGGGGAACCCACUAGCUAAUGGCUAGUACUCCUAUCUGUUAAGGAUAGGUAGAGGAAGACGCAGUGAACUGAAACAUCUAAGUAGCUGCAGGAAGAGAAAGCAAAAGCGAUUGCCUGAGUAGCGGCGAGCGAAACGGCAGGAGGGCAAACCGAAGAGUUUACUCUUCGGGGUUGUAGGACUGCAAUGUGGACUUAAAGAAUAUAGAAGAAUGACAUGGGAAGGUCAGCCAAAGAGAGUAAGAGCCUCGUAUUCGAAAUAGUCUUUAUACCUAGCAGUAUCCUGAGUACGGCGGGACACGAGAAAUCCCGUCGGAAUCUGGGAGGACCAUCUCCCAACCCUAAAUACUCUCUAGUGACCGAUAGUGAACCAGUACCGUGAGGGAAAGGUGAAAAGCACCCCGGGAGGGGAGUGAAAUAGAACCUGAAACCGUGUGCCUACAACAAGUUCGAGCCCGUUAAUGGGUGAGAGCGUGCCUUUUGUAGAAUGAACCGGCGAGUUACGAUAUGAUGCGAGGUUAAGUUGAAGAGACGGAGCCGUAGGGAAACCGAGUCUGAAUAGGGCGUCUUAGUAUUAUGUCGUAGACCCGAAACCAUGUGACCUACCCAUGAGCAGGUUGAAGGUGAGGUAAAACUCACUGGAGGACCGAACCAGGGCACGUUGAAAAGUGCUUGGAUGACUUGUGGGUAGCGGAGAAAUUCCAAACGAACUUGGAGAUAGCUGGUUCUCUCCGAAAUAGCUUUAGGGCUAGCGUCGACAUUAAGAUUCUUGGAGGUAGAGCACUGUUUGGGUGAGGGGUCCAUCCCGGAUUACCAAUCUCAGAUAAACUCCGAAUGCCAAUGAAUUAUGGUCGGCAGUCAGACUGCGAGUGCUAAGAUCCGUAGUCGAAAGGGAAACAGCCCAGACCACCAGCUAAGGUCCCAAAAUAAUUGUUAAGUGGAAAAGGAUGUGGGGUUGCACAGACAACUAGGAUGUUAGCUUAGAAGCAGCUAUUCAUUCAAAGAGUGCGUAAUAGCUCACUAGUCGAGUGACCCUGCGCCGAAAAUGUACCGGGGCUAAAACAAUUUACCGAAGCUGUGGAUACCUUUAUAGGUAUGGUAGGAGAGCGUUCUAUGUGUGGAGAAGGUGUACCGUGAGGAGCGCUGGAACGCAUAGAAGUGAGAAUGCCGGUAUGAGUAGCGAAAGACAGGUGAGAAUCCUGUCCACCGUAAGACUAAGGUUUCCAGGGGAAGGCUCGUCCGCCCUGGGUUAGUCGGGACCUAAGGAGAGACCGAAAGGUGUAUCCGAUGGACAACAGGUUGAUAUUCCUGUACUAGAGUAUGUAGUGAAGGAGGGACGCAGUAGGCUAACUAAAGCGUGCGACUGGAAGUGCACGUCUAAGCAGUGAGGUGUGAAUUGAGUUAAAUGCUUAAUUCUAUAACAUUGAGCUGUGAUGGGGAGCGAAGUUUAGUAGCGAAGUUAGUGACGUCACACUGCCAAGAAAAGCUUCUAGCGUUAAUCAUACUCUACCCGUACCGCAAACCGACACAGGUAGUCGAGGCGAGUAGCCUCAGGUGAGCGAGAGAACUCUCGUUAAGGAACUCGGCAAAAUGACCCCGUAACUUCGGGAGAAGGGGUGCUGGCUUUCAGUCAGCCGCAGUGAAUAGGCCCAAGCAACUGUUUAUCAAAAACACAGCUCUCUGCUAAAUCGUAAGAUGAUGUAUAGGGGGUGACGCCUGCCCGGUGCUGGAAGGUUAAGAGGAGUGCUU
rnacentral:rRNA from 1 species